GGGGCAGUAGUUCAGUUGGGAGAACAUCCGCUUCGCACGCGGAAGGUCACGGGUUCAAAUCCCGUCUGCUCCA
rnacentral:tRNA from 1 species